UACGUAGGUGGCAAGCGUUAUCCGGAAUUAUUGGGCGUAAAGCGCGCGCAGGUGGUUUCUUAAGUCUGAUGUGAAAGCCCACGGCUCAACCGUGGAGGGUCAUUGGAAACUGGGGAGACUUGAGUGCAGAAGAGGAAAGUGGAAUUCCAUGUGUAGCGGUGAAAUGCGUAGAGAUAUGGAGGAACACCAGUGGCGAAGGCGACGUUUCUGGUCUGUAACUGACACUGAGGCGCGAAAGCGUGGGGAGCAAACAGG
rnacentral:rRNA from 1 species